ensembl:lncRNA
GGCGAGGUAGAGGGCGGGUCCCCUUAAGAGGAAGGCCAGGUAGAGGGCGGGUCCCCUCAGGAGGAAGGCCAGGUAGGAACGGAGGGCGUGCCUCCCCUGGACGGUCUGGAGGGCGGACCCCCUCCGGCAGGAGCAGAGGCCGGUCCCCCUCUGGAAGGAGCAGGGGGCGGGCCCCCUCAGGCAGGAGCGGAGGCCGGUCCCCCUCUGGAAGGAGCAGGGGGCGGGCCCCCUCAGGCAGGAGCGGAGGGCGGACCACCUCAAGCAGGCGAAGAGGCCGGUCCCCCUCUGGAAGGCGAGGAGCGGGCUCAGGAACCGGACAGGGCUCGGGGACCGGAGUCAGUGCG